UACAUUUUUAAAAAUGUAAUGUUUUCUGGUGUAUGUAUACUGAUUUAUCAUUCAAUUUUUUUAUAACUACAGUAGUUUUUUUUUUUUAAAUAAUUAAACUGUUUGUCCGGGUUUUUGAAAGAAUUUAUGAAACUUUUUAAGGUUAUUUUUCUUAAUAAGAUUUUUAAUUUAGAUAUUAAAUUUGAAUGAGAGUGCUUUAGAGAGGUUUACUUGAACUAUUUGUCCAGUGUUUAUAUAGCUGUGUUUGGCAUGAAAAAUGGCAUAUGAUUUUAUUAUGGAAAUGUGUGAAAUUGUAGACAACAAAACUUUGUGUUCGUCAUAUGUUUGCUUUCUGUAGCAUAUUGUCGAUGUGAAUGUUAACUACAUUGACAAAGUUAUGUUCAUGUUAUUCAUGAUUUUACACGAAAAAUAAAAACAGUAGUCAUUAUGAUGC
rnacentral:misc_RNA from 1 species